AACGAACGCUGGCGGCAUGCCUAACACAUGCAAGUCGAACGAGACCUUCGGGUAUAGUGGCGCACGGGUGCGUAACGCGUGGGAACCUGCCCUUAGGUUCGGAAUAACUCCCCGAAAGGGGUGCUAAUACCGGAUAAUGUCUUCGGACCAAAGAUUUAUCUCCUUUGGAUGGGCCCGCGUUGGAUUAGCUAGUUGGUAGGGUAAAAGCCUACCAAGGCGACGAUCCAUAGCUGGUCUGAGAGGAUGAUCAGCCACACUGGGACUGAGACACGGCCCAGACUCCUACGGGAGGCAGCAGUGGGGAAUAUUGGACAAUGGGCGAAAGCCUGAUCCAGCAAUGCCGCGUGAGUGAUGAAGGCCUUAGGGUUGUAAAGCUCUUUUACCCGGGAUGAUAAUGACAGUACCGGGAGAAUAAGCUCCGGCUAACUCCGUG
rnacentral:rRNA from 1 species